rnacentral:ncRNA from 1 species
AUACUGAAUCAUGGUGGGGAACAAUGUGAAAUUCAUUGACUGUUCCUGCAACGGUAAAAGUAAAAUUGAGUCCGAGUGCCACCCAGUAAAGUCCGCUGUCGAGUGAAGGCCAGGAAAAGUCUAACUCUGCAAUAUUAAA